rnacentral:ncRNA from 1 species
UCACGCUGUCUACGGGGCCGUUCGCCGUCUGAUGGCUUGCCAUCCGCCCCGACACGGGAUGGCACAGACGAGAGGA